rnacentral:rRNA from 1 species
ACGCAGGCAGCAAGCGUUGUUCGGAGUUACUGGGCGUAAAGAGUGUGUAGGCGGUUUUCCAAGUCUGGUGUGAAAUCUCCCGGCUCAACUGGGAGGGUGCGCCGGAAACUGGGGGGCUGGAGUGCGGGAGAGGGAAGCGGAAUUCCUGGUGUAGCGGUGAAAUGCGUAGAUAUCAGGAGGAACACCCGCGGUGUAGACGGCUUCCUGGACCGUAACUGACGCUGAGAUACGAAAGCGUGGGGAGCAAACAG